rnacentral:lncRNA from 1 species
GUUCCCCACCCACCGAUGGCCACCGGUUUCCCCAUCCCCGCCCGUUUACCCGCUGCGGGUUUCAAAACCGUUACCACCACAGUUUGUGGGCGGUUUUCGGUUACCUCCGGAUCCCCAUAAAACAAAUGAAAAUUAUAAAUCUCAUAACUUAAAAUCCAUACAUCAUUCUGAAUCUGAACAUGAAUUCUUUAAAUUCCAGAAAAUUAGUAAGCAACAUUCAAAAGUUCACUGUCAUUAAGCAACAUUCAAAAAUUACUAAGAAACAUGAACUUAACUUGAUUGAGACCACAUUUCAGCAACACUAAAACUGCCCACUGUCCACUGCUGCACUGCAACAUUCAAAAGUGGAAAACAAAGUUCAUGAGCAGUGAGCUAUUUCAGCAGCAAUUCAGCAGCAGCAAGAGAUAAUUGCGAAUUGAGAAGUAUGAAUUAUCAUACCUUAGGAUAUGCACCAGGAACUACACUCAAUAUGAUUGUGUCAAUCAUCCAAAUGGAAUGGUGACUUCGUAAAAACUGCUGUAGGUCCUAAUCAAGUACAUACAAUCAAUGAAUCAAUAAUUUCAACAUCAGAUCACAUUGAACAGAUCAUCAACAUUUCAAAAUACUGAAAUUAGAAACUUGAAUCCAGAAUUUAAUUUCAACAUCAGAUCACAUUGAACAGAUCAUCAACAUUUCAAAAUACUGAAAUUAGAAACUUGAAUCCAGAAUUUAAUUUCAACAUCAGAUCACAUUGAACAUAUCAUCAACAUUUCAAAAUACUGAAAUUAGAAACUUGAAUCCAGAAUUUACGACAGAAGAAUCAUCACAUUGAACAUAUCAUCAACAUUUCAAAAUACUGAAAUUAGAAACUUGAAUCCAGAAUUUAAUUUCAACAUCAGAUCACAUUGAACAUAUCAUCAACAUUUCAAAAUACUGAAAUUAGAAACUUGAAUCCAGAAUUUAAUUUCAACAUCAGAUCACAUUGAACAUAUCAUCAACAUUUCAAAAUACUGAAAUUAGAAACUUGAAUCCAGAAUUUACCUCCAACUGCUGGUUCUUCGACAGAAGAAUCCUGAACUGACAUCGCAGGACAAGAAGACUCCUAAGAUUAACCGUAGAAGAGAGGAAGAGAAGAGUCUCUUCCUCUAAUCCU